GAAAGCACUCCGUAACAACUAGAAUAAUAUUAUGACACUAGAUGUGUCUUGUACUUUAUGAUUCAUAGGCAUUGUCUCACCUGACCCUGACAACAGCCCUGUAUGAGAGACAUAGUCUUAAUCACAUUUAACAGAUGAAGAUGCAUAGGUUCAGAGAGGCUCACUGACUGGGCCUACAUUAGAUAGUGAAUAUUAUACCUUGAACCUAAACUCCAGGUCUUCUGACUCCAAAACCAAUGUCCUCACCCUCUCAGACAUCGACCUCAAUAUGUUAUGUGAUUCUUGGUUCUCAAUGUGAACCAUGAGGAGAGUUUGGUGAAUGUCACUUAACAGAUCUUCAGGCAUGCAAAUCCCUAUGCCCAGCACAUUUCCGUGGACCCCUUCUGCUCCCUUGACAAUACUUGCUCCUUCCUACUCCACUCUUCACCUGGAUGGCCCUUCCCUUCAGGAUUCAGCUUGGGCCCAACUUCGCCUGGAUUAUCCUGCUCCUGUUUCCCCAGGAGCCAGCCGGUACUUUUCUGUGAUGUGUUAUUACAGAAUAGAACCAUAGACUGUGGUUUGUUU
rnacentral:lncRNA from 1 species